CCAAUAGCGUAUAUUAAAGUUGUUGCAGUUAAAAAGCUCGUAGUUGAAUUUCGGGAUCAAGGAAUCGGUCAUGCCUUGGUAUGUACUGGUUUUAUUGGUUCUCACCUUCUAAAGAACCAUAAUGUCAUUCAUUUGAUGUUAUGGGGAAUUAGGACUGUUACCUUGAAAAAAUUAGAGUGUUUAAAGCAGGCUUACGCUUGAAUACCUUAGCAUGGAAUAAUGAAAUAGGACAUCCGAUUCUAUUUUGUUGGUUUCUAGGAUCGAUGUAAUGAUUAAUAGGGAUAGUUGGGGGCAUUAGUAUUCAAUUGUCAGAGGUGAAAUUCUUGGAUUUAUUGAAGACUAACUACUGCGAAAGCAUUUGCCAAGGAUGUUUUCAUUAAUCAAGAACGAAAGUUAGGGGAUCGAAGACGAUCAGAUACCGUCGUAGUCUUAACCAUAAACUAUGCCGACUAGGGAUCGGAUGAUGUUUAUUUUUUAGUGACUCAUUCGGCACCUUACG
rnacentral:rRNA from 1 species